AAGUGGGGAGUCAUGGGAGUUGGGAAGGGGCGGGGCGGGUCUCGGGACUGGAGACCGGGAUGGUUUGGGCUAGCCUUAGGGACCGGACUUCGGUCCAUUGGUCCAGAGGCAGCAUCUGGGCUUGCACAUGCUCUCAGGAGUGCUUACCGACUCUGGCAGAUGGACUACACAACUAUGCACAAAGAGCUCGCGAUAUAGAAAGGAACCCCUCUCAAAAUGGUCGUAGACACCCCACUGCCAAGCCCACUGGGAACGAAACCUGGGCCGAACCCCCCCCAGCCACUCCCACUCAUCCUGACGCCCCCCCCACCGAUGCUCUGCUAAAGACUGUCCUGCUCAUUCCUUCAGCCGCGGGGUGCGGAGGUGGGGGACUAGAGCCCCCUCUGUACUUCUGGUACUCUCGUGCAGUGACCCUGCCUAUUUCUGUCACAAACCGGGCACCUCCUAGGUUCAGAGCAGCCCUUGUGCACGCACACACAUUGACUGGCAUCUUGGGAAGCGGUGCCCAACAUCGGCUCAACUCCUGCUGCUAUUCGAAGCUGGUUCCUUUAUAUUCAAUCCCCCUUUUUCCCAGUAGAACUGCCAGUAGGUAGUGGGGCCGAUGUCCAGAGCAUGCAGAUUCAUUCUCCACAAGGACAUAAAGCGUUGUCCCCACUCCGGGCUCCUAGCUCUAGAACUGGACCGAUCCCCGGGGCUGUCUAAUCCAAAUCUCUCAUUUAAGGAAACAAACCCAGGGAGAUUAAACUACUUGCCCAAGAUCAGAGAGGUAGUAAACGACAAAGGUGGGUUUUGAGACUUGCCCAAAGAUCCUGGGAAUGCAGUUCAUAGAGCAGACCAUAAAAUAUCAUACCUACAGUGUGUUCAGCACCUCAAUAAAGAAGAUAACCAAGAAGGAGGUUAUUCCAGAGUGCCAAUUGGCACCUCCUCCCCAAAAAGUUUCAAGAUUAAAUACAAAUAUGCCUAAUUUUCAAAGUCGACAACCAGCAGAUUAAGGAUCAUCCCCUGAGUUGGGUAAAUGGAAAUUUACUUCAAUAAAGUUCUUUUAAAAUCCUGCUUUAUAGAAAAUAUAAGCAAAGACAGUGUACUGUGUUACUAAUCCCUGAAGCCACCAGAGUUGUCAACAGUGUCAAAAAUUAUAGAAAGGUCAAAAGAAGAGAACUAAAGUCAUCAUGACUUCAGAGGAUGCUAGGGUUGUUCAGUCUCAGUCACAUCUGACACUUUGUAACCUCAUAGGCUUGGAUUGUCAGUUUGUUCAGUCAUUUUUCAGUCAUGUCCAACUCUUCAUGACCCCAUUUUGGGGUUUUACUGAAGUGGUUUGCCAUUUCUUUUUCCAGCUCAUUUAACAGAUAAGGAAGCUGAGGCAAAUAGGGUUAAGUGAUUUGCUGAGGAUCACACAACUAGUAUCUAAGGUCAAAUUUGAACUCACUCUAGCCCAGGGAUUCUAUCCAUUUUGCCACCUAUCCACUCCUCUGAUGGGGUUACAUGAAGGAUUUUUAAGAGGAAUAUUUAAGCAGCUGGAAAUGUUUGUAGGUGGCAAGAAGAAGCCAGGAAAUAGGAAGAGACUGAAGAUUAGAGAAAGAGAGAGAGGGCAUAACAGAAGAGGCAAAAUACUGGAGGAAAUGAAAGGAAUCAGAUCAAGUCCUCAAAUGGAAAAUCUUAUAAUAAAUAAUCUUAUUGUGGAGACCCCUACUACUCCCUCAUCAGUGCCUGGGGCAAAAGAGAAGAAUGAAUGGAGAGAAAUAAAUGAAUGGAAUGAAGGAAAGAAAAGGAACUCAAAUCAAAUGGCCUGUCUUCUCUCUAGAGGCAGGACCAGGGGUGGGGUAGUAGCUUGGGAAGAAAAGUGAAUAUUUGGAAGAUUCAGCUUGAGGAUGUAAAUCAAGUAGGGAAGAGCAAACAGUUUGUUUUGCCUCAGGAAGGGCCAAAUAGUGAUUAGAUAACAUACAUUGUUGUAGACCAAAUCAAUGGACAUGAAUAGGAGUACAGAAGGCAGAUGGGGAGGAAUGGUAAUUUAGGGCUAAUCCUUAGAAAAUUCUUUCUUGUAUAGAACUGAAAUUUGCCUCUCUACUGUCCAACAAUUAUUUCCCUCUACUCUCCAAAUAAUUUAUUUUGUAUAUAUCCUGUAUUUAUCUUUGAAAAUAAUGGCUAUUGUAAGCCAGACUAUAAGCUUCUGGAGGGUAGGGACUAUCUCCCCAGCACAUACUUAAUAAAUGCUUGCUGCUAGAUGAUUCCUGUCUCUGGAGCACAUAUUUCAUGAUGGAUGACUUUAAAAAAAUGUUUUUAAACCUUACCUUCCUUCUUAGAAUCAGUACUGUGUAUUGGUUCUAAGGCAGAAGAGUGGUAAGGCUUAGGCAACGGGGGUUAAAUGACUUGCCCAGGGUCACACAGCUAGGAAGUAUCUGGGGUCAAAUUUGAAUCCAGGACCUCCCCUCUCUGGGCCUGACCAGACCCACUUAGCUGC